CGUGAGUAACCUGCCUUGGAGUGGGGAAUAACAGCUGGAAACAGCUGCUAAUACCGCAUAAUAUAUCUGGGUCGCAUGGCUCUGGAUAUCAAAGAUUUAUCGCUCUGAGAUGGACUCGCGUCUGAUUAGCUGGUUGGCGGGGUAACGGCCCACCAAGGCGACGAUCAGUAGCCGGACUGAGAGGUUGGCCGGCCACAUUGGGACUGAGACACGGCCCAGACUCCUACGGAAGGCAGCAG
rnacentral:rRNA from 1 species